UCUAUCUAUUUGAGGAUUAAUGUCCAAUACAAUUACAUGUAGAUACAGAGAAUAAAACAGUCUUGAUUGUUGAAAGCAUCAAACAUGCUGGAUGUCGAGAUGGAAAUUCUUAGUGUAAGUUCUUUUUCACAAAAGAAGUAUGAUUGAGAUUAUAUUUGAGUGUCCACAUUAACAUUUACAAAUUGCCAUCAUGGUGCAAAAUGUUUAAUAUGGUGGGUAUGAAAAGACAUGACUAUGACAGAGACUGGUAGGAACUGAUUAGCAUUAAACAAGUUUAUAGCCAACGGUAAUACGAAACAUACAAAUUUCACUUCAUAUUUUGUUAUUCUAGUUGUGGUUUGUGUCACUGAUUUUCAUAUUUUUAUUUAUCUCUCUGUGUUUCUGCCUUUCUUUCUUUUCUUUUUUCUUCCUUUUUCAAUUGACUUCUGUUUUUGCCUUUUCACUUUUCUUCUUUUUUCCUUUGCUUCUGUGAUGGUAAGCAUUUGUUUAGUUGUCCCUCCUUCUUAGUUUUAUACUACUGCUGUUUUAAAAGUUUUAACUUACUCUCUAACUGCCGCCUCCCUUUUUUUCUUCUUAUUUCACUUCUUACACGACUGUUUUCUGCAGCUGCUUUUACACUGGAUAAUACUAUUUAGGGGUAGUAAAUCUUCUUAUUGAUUGACACUCCCUUUAUAUAAAACAUGACAACAAAUACCCGUCACUUCUCUAAGGUAUUUGCCUUGUGCCUCAUGUAUCAUGUGUCAUCCCUCGUGCAUCGCAGUUAGUCUUCAGUAGAGCUUUUAGCUCCUUAGUACUCCUUGCGCCCUUGGUAACUUUAAUGUGGCUCCUUAUAUGAUAGGCUUGCUUUAAUAGAAUAGAUCAUGCUUUAUGAUUAAGCAAGUAUGUAGAUGGUGAUUAUGUUAGCAAUCUAAGUAUACUGCAGUUAGAUGCACUUGAAAGUGACACCAGUUGAAGUUAUUGUGUAUGAAGUUGAUGGACCAGUUUAUCGUUGCUCACAUCACUUAUGGUUCUCUAGUUAAGCUUUUGACACUUCCCUUUGUUUAUUCUUGAUGUCCCUAUGCUCGGUUUUUCAAGUCGCUUCUUUCUUUGCUAAUCCAACAGGACAAAUGAAUUUGUAUGUCUUGUAUACUAAAUGAAUUAACCUAUCUGAUGAUUGAUUAUUUGCAUUUCAGUGAACUGCUGAUUUUAGAUUAAAUUUUAAGUUCUGAGUUCAGACUGGUUAUGGGAAAUAUUAGUUCAAAGUUCCUUUUGAGUUUUGACCACUAUUUUUUGCUUCAUUUACUAUUUUGAUAUUCCUAUUCUAUAGAUUUUCAACAAGUUGCAUCUCUCUGUCAUGGUUUGGUAAGUCAUAUCCAAGAUACUGGAACAGACUGAUUCAUUGAUCUCCUUCAAUAAAAUGUGGCUUGUGCAUGUAGGUUUUAGAUCCCCACUUGUAUUAUUAAAGAUUCAUCACUAUCAUAACUGAUCUUGUACCAUCUACAGCCUGUAUAGUAGGAUAACGCAGGACUUAUUCAUAUCGAGAAGGGAGCAGAUCCUUGUUGCAUUCAGCCUCAGCUUGUAUUUGUUAACAUAACAUUAAAUUGCAUGCACUUCUGGCAGCAAUUCUUAUCUGUUCUCUGAUAGUUUGUUUGAUAUGAAUCAGCACUGUCACUUCCAGUCUAUUCAAUAUUCAUGUUGAUUUUGUGGAACAAAUUCUUGUUAAUGACAAAGUCCUAGUACCUCAUCAUUUUGCGGGCCUGCAUAUGUGCACAGCAUGAAGCUUGAAGGUGAAACCCACUGCAAAAUUUUGUUUACAUAAGAGUGUCUGUUGUAGUUUGAUAUCUGUUGAUGUUUGCAGCAUGUAACUGGAAUAACCAUGAUGGAUUUUUGUUCAUCGUCUUUCUUUACCAAGGUAACAUUUUGAUGUCUAACGUUAAUGUGCUCCUUGUCUCUUGAAGUAUUAAGCAUAAAUUUUCAGUAUUUAUAUUCCUUGUGCUUUGUUUCCAGUCAUAAUAUGGACUUGUUUUAUGGAAGAUUGGUUGGGUAUAAUAUUGAUUAUCUCAACUAGUUAAAAUUUUAAAUCUUGAUAGCCUCAAAUCCUACCAAGAAAUAAAAACUUUUUGCUUAUUGUUUGUACCGUCCUAUCUUAAUUGAUCAACUUGAACCUGAGAUAGUUAUGUGAUGGUUCUUGUUUAUGUCCUCGACUUGAAGGUGGAGUUGAGCUCAAAGAACCACUUCUCGGCAUUGUACUUCCCCGUAGAUGAUUUUUCUGUGAAUCAGUAACAGUAUCAGCUUAUGGCUGUUUCUUUAAUUGCAAUUGCAACAAGUAUAAUCCUGUAGAUAAUUCCUUUUUUGUGAAGGUUUUUGUAGUAUGUAUUGACUGAACUGGUGAUUUACAUAAACAAAUAGACCUUAAUAUCAUGUUUGUUUUUCUUAGUGACCAUUGACAUUGUUCAGAUCAUUAUCUCCAGAAUAAUAUUACAGCACGAGAAGUCAACAAAGUAGAGACAUGUAAAACUCCCCUCAAGCAUCAGACUUCUCAGCCACUUCUGUUUGCUUGUUGACCCUGCUUCUGAGUUCUUCAAAAGCACGCAUGCUUUCUGCAUCAAAUCCUCCAGCAAACUGCAAGUUCACACAAAAUGAGUCAUGACAUGAAAGAAACAGGUGUGUUUUACCUUGUGAAUUAUCAGCUCUUCUAGUUGACGUUUUUAUCAUGAGACAAGCAUGAGAACUUUACCUGAUGGACCCGGAAUGCAAAUCUUACACCUUGCAGAACCAAAAACUCUCUGUUUGGCUCUUUGUCGCUGCCACUGAGAGCAUCAAGUUCUGAAGAAACCCUCUUCAUGUACUUCCUUGCUAGCUGAACUGUUGACAGUUUGAUCUGCCAAAACAUCCGUAUGUCUUUGAGCUUAUUCUUAUUUCCAGCUCUUCAAGAUCAUAAUUGAAGCACAAAGUAUGUUGUUAGAUUAAUCUUUAUAUGGUUCACUACCUUGCCCACCACACCAGAGUCCAGCAGCCAAUCAGUUGGAAUCCCGAACUCCCUGUAACGAGCAAUUGCCAUGUCUCGAGUUCGCAGCAGUGCAUACACACUUUGCUCCAUUCUGC
rnacentral:lncRNA from 1 species